UUUUCAGGUGAGGCAACUCAGGCCUUGUCCAAGGUCCCAAGGCAAGUGUAUAAUAAUCCCCUUAUGGUGAAAAUGACCAGAUUUCACUGAAAUACAUGAAAGAAAAGUUAAACUGUCAUUUUUUUCUGUACUGGAACUGCACUGAAUCUAUAGACAAUUUUGGGGAGAAUGAACACCUUUAUGAUAUUGAGUCUUUUAUUCCAAACAUGCUGCAUAAAGACACAUUUUUGUUGUAUUUACUCAUAGGUUAUUUAAGCAUAUGUAUAUAUUUCUGUUUGUUUGUUUUUGUUGCUAUUGUAAAUGGCACCUGUAAAAUUUGUGUUUUGUAACAAAUUCUUGCGGCUUUAUUAGAAAUGUAGUUGAGUUUUGUGUAUUGGUUUUGUGUCCACAUACCUUACUUAACUCUCUUAUUAAUAAUUUCCACAGGUCGUUUUUGGAUUUUGAGACAAUAUUUUCAUCCACAACUAAUAACAAUUUUCUCUCUCCCUUUCUUCUUUUAUAUUUCUUUUUCAUGUCUUGUUGUAUAGGUUAGGACCGUGAGUUUGAUGUUACAUAGAAGUGUAUGGUACUUGAUCUUAAAAGGAAUUCUUUCAGCACUGCUCCAUUAAGUAUGAUGAUUUUUGUAGGUGUUUCUGAUAGAUGCUGUUUAUCAUAUUAAAGAAGUUCUCUUCUAUUCCUGUUUUACUAAGUUUUUUUAAACCAUGAUUGAAUAUUGAAUUUUAUUGACUGCUUAUUUUUGUCAUUUAUUAAGACCCUCAUUUUGUUUUUCUCCUUUGAUCUGUUAUUGUGGUAAAUUACAUUAAUAGAUUUUCUAAACCAAUCUUGUAUUGCUGAGAUAAACCUAGCUUAAAUGUGACUUAUUACUAAAUAUUUAGGACUCUAAAUUUCCUUUUAAGGGUUGUAUUACUGUGUCUUAGUUAACUUGUGUAACAAAAAGCCACAGAUGAGUGGCUUAAAUAACAGAAAUUUAUUUCUCACAGUUCUGGAGGCCAGCAAAUUUGGUUCCCAGUGAGGGUUUUCUUCCUGGUUUGCAGAUGGCUGCUUUCUUGUUGUGUCCUCAUAUGGUGGAGAGAGAAAGAGCUCUGGUCUCUUCCUCUUACAGGGUUGCAAAUCCCAUCGUGGGGCUCCACUCUCAUUAUCUCAUCUAAAAACCUAAUUACCUCCCAAAGGCCCAUCUCUAAUCACACUGGGGGUUAGGGCUUCAACAUAUACAUUUGAGAGAGACACAAACGUUCAGUCAUGCUGCAUCUGAUAAUUUGUGAUAUGGAAUCUUUUUUAAAAAAAUAAUCACGAAUUGGGACUUCCCUGGUGGUGCAGUGCUUAAGGAUCUGCCUGCCGAUGCAGGAGACACAGGUUCAGUCUCUGGUCCAGGAAGAUCCCACGUGCCACGGAACAACUAAGCCCGUGCACCACAGCUACUGAGCCUGUGCUCUAGAGCCUGCGAACCACAACUACUGAGCCUGUGUGCCACAACUACUGAAGCCCGCAUGCCUAGAGCCCAUGCUCCACAACAAGAGAAGCCACUGCAAUGUGAAGGCUGCACACCUCAACAAAGAGUAGCCCCUGAUCUCUGCAACUAGAGAAGAGCCCCUGUGCAACAAUGAAGACCCAACACAGCCAAAAAAAUAAAUUAAAAAUUUUAAAAAGUCACCAAUUUCUAGGUAUUUUAAAAAUUCCACUAUGUUUUUUUUCCUUGACUUGUGUGUCCUUUAGAUGCAUGUUUUCUCAUUUGCAAACACAUGGGUUUUUUUCUGGUUGUCUUUUUGCUACUGAUUUCUAAUUUAAGUGCAUUGAGAUCAGAGAAUGUAGUCUGUAGGCCCCAAACUGGGUGAGGCCAGCAUUAUGGUCUAGUGCAUAAUUAAUUUUUGUAAAUGUCCCAUGUGUAUUUACAAAGCAUGUACAUUUCUCUGUUGUCAAGUAUAACAGUUUAUAAAUACCCAUUAGAUACAUUUUAAAAUUUACUCUUCAAUAUUUCUAUAUUCAACUGAUUUUUGUCUUCUUGGUUUACAAGUGCUGAAAGACAAAUAUUGAAAUCUCUCACUUUUUGGUGGAUUUAUCGAUUUCUUCUUAAAACCCUGUUAAGUUUUGUUUUGUAUUUUGAAGCUCUGUUACUGGGUGUAUGAAAGUUUAGAAUCAUUAUAUACACUUGUGAAUUAAACCGUUAUCACCCCUUAUAUAGUGAUCCUUGUUACCUCUGUGAUGCUUUUUGCUUUAAAGUCUAUUAUGUUUGAUAUUAAUAUUGCUACAUCAUCUUUUUGGGGGUAUGUAUAGCUUGGUAUAUGUUUUUCCAUUCUUUGAUUUUCAUUCUUUCUGUGUCCUUACAUUUGGGAGGAUCUCUAUUAAACAGUAUAAUUAGUAUCUUUAUCUUCCUCCCAAAUAAUGCAUGGAUCUCAACUCACUUUCAGUUUAAUCACAGCUUCCAGUUCAUGUGCUAUUAACAUGCAGUUUUUUAGCUUUAUUCUGUCCCCCCUCCCAACUUUAGAUGUUGUUGUUUUGUUUCAUGUAGUCAACAUUUGAUUAAAUUUACCAACAUAUUUAUUAUUUCAUAUUAUAUCCCAAAUCUUACUUCUAGAAUAAUUUUUCUUCUGUUUGAGGUUCAUCCUGUAGAAUUUCCUUCGGUUAAUGGAAUGUCGAUUUUAAACUCUCUCAAUUUUUGAUUAUCUGAAAAUGUCUUUACUUAGUUUAUGUCCUUGAAAGAUACUUUUUCCAGGUAUAAAGUUCUAGGUUUGACAGUUGUAUUGUCUUAAUACAGUGAAGAUAUCUGUAUUCGUUUCUCACUGCUGUUGUAACAAAUUAUCUUAGUGGCUUAAAACAACACACAUUUAUUUUCUCAUAGUUCUAGAGGUCAGGUGUCUGAAAUCAGGCUCGUGGGCUAAACUCAGGGUGUUGGCAGGGAUGUGUCCCUUCUGGAGGCUCUAGGAGAGAAUCCGUUCUUUGCCUCCUCCAGCUUCUAGAGGCCGCUGGUAUUCACUGACUUGUGGCCACAUCACUCCAGUCUCUGCCUUCUUCUAUCCUGUAGUCAUAUCCCCUCUGCCUCCCUCAAAUCUCUUGAAUACAUUGGACCCACUGAGAUGAUCUAGGAUAAUCUCCCCAUCUCAACAUCUUUAACUUGAUCAUAUUCAAAGAGUUCCUUUUACCAGGAAAGGCCACAUGUUCAUGGGUUCUGGGGAUUCAGAAGUUGACCUUUUUAGGGAUUAUGCAAUUUCCUACAUUAUUCCACUCACUUCUGGCUUUCAUUUUUGUCACCAAGAAGACAGCGGUUAAUAAAAUUCCUGGUCUCAUGAUCUUUUUCUUUGGAUGCUUUUAAAAUUUGCCGUAGCUGACAUUUUACUAUGAUGUGUCAGUUGUGAGUUUAUUUUGUUUAUCUUUCUUGUUGUGUUUUUAAAAGUCCAUUGUCUCUUUGAGUAUUUUAUCUUCUCCAUUUCUUCUGUUAUCUUCCCUUGACCCUCAGUUAAGCUGAAUGUUAGAUGUUCCACUCUUUCUUCUGUGCCCUUCAGUGUUUCUUUCUAUUUACAUUUCCUUUCUCUGGGCUGCACUCUGGGUAAUUUCUUCACUAAGUUUUUCUUCAGCUAUGUCUAAUAAGCUGUUUAAUACAUCCAUCCAUUUCUAUCUUCUACUUUAAAAAUGAUCAUACAGUAAAAUUUACUUUUAUUGAAGAGGAUGCCCAGUUCCAUGAAUUUUAACACACGUAUAGAUUCAUGUAGCCACCGCCACAAUCAGAACAGUCCUAUUACCCACAAACUCCCCCCUGCUGUUCCUUUAUAGUCAUGCUCUGGACCUACCUCCGAUCCGUUUUCCAUCACUUUAAUUUUGUCAUUUAUAGGAUGUCCUAUCGAUGAAGCUGUAUAGCAAGUAACCCUUUUAGACUAGCUUCUUUAACUCACCACAAUAUCUUUGAGAAUCAUUGAAAUUAUUGCAAGUUCUUCCUUUUUAUUUUUGGCCGGUAUCCGCUGCCUGGAUGUUCCGGAGCUUGCCCAUCCAUUCACCUAUCGAGGGACAUUUUAGUUGUUUCCAGUUUGGACAAUUAUGAGAAGAGCUUCCAUAAGCAUUUGCAUUAUGCGGGCCUCUCACCGUUGUGGCCUCUCCCGUUGCGGCGCACAGGCUCCAGACGUGCAGGCUCAGCGGCCAUGGCUCACGGGCCCAGCCAUUCCGCGGCACGUGGGAUCCUCCCGGACCAGGGCACGAACCCGCGUCUCCUGCAUCGGCAGGCGGACUCUCAACCACCGCGCCACCAGGGAAGCCCUAUUCUUUUUUUUAAAGUUAUUUUUUGCUUUUUUAGUUCUGUUGCCUUUCAAUAAAUAUUAGAGCAAAUUUGUCUAUAUCUACAAAAAUCAUGCGAGGAUUUUGUUUGGAAUUGCAUUAAAUCUAUAGAUCAGUUUGGGAGAAUUGACAUCUUUACUAUGUUGAGUUCCAAUUCAUUAACAUGUCAUCUCUCUCUAUUUAUUUAGAUUUUUUUUCAUUCCUUUCAUCCCCAUUUCACAGUGUACAGCAUAUAGAUAGAGUACAUUUUUGUUAGAUUUAUACCUAAGUAUUUAACUUUUUUAGGAGUUAUUGUAAAUCAUAUCAUUUAAAAAUUUUUAGUUUACAGCUGUGCAUUGCUAAUAUAUAGAAAUAUGAUUGAUUUUUGCAGAGUGACCUUGUACCUUAAGACCUUGCUAAACCCAGUUAAUAGUUCUAGGAGUUUUGGGGUUGUUUGUUUGUUUUUGUUGUUAUUGUAGAUUUAUUUGGAUUUUCUGUGCAGAUAGUCCUGUUGUCUGAGAAUAGGGGAAGUUUUAUUUCUUUCUUUCCAAUCUGUAUGCCUCUUAUUUCUUUUUCUUGCCUGUUGUACUAGCUAAGAUUUAUACUAUGAUGUUGAAUGGAGGUGGUGAGAGUGGAUGUCCCUGCCUUGUUCACAAUCUUUGGAAGAAAGUUGUUCACUAUAAAAUAUAAUGCUAGUUGUAAAAUUUUUGUAGAUACCCUUUAUCAGAUUAAGGAAAUUCCUUUCUCUUUGUAGUUAGCUGAGAACUUUAUCAUGAACGGGUGUUGAAUUUGUCAAAUGCCUUUUCUGUAUCACUUGAAUUGAUCAUGUAGUUUUUGCUUUUAGAAUGUUGAUAUAGUGGAUUCCACUGAUUGAUUUUUGAGUAUUGAACCAACCUUGCAUUCCCAGGAUAAACCACACUGGGUGGUGGUGUAUUAUUCUUUUUAUAUAUUCCUGAACUUUAUUUGCUAAUACUUUGUUGAGCCCUUUUGUGUUUAUGUUUACGUAGGGUACUGCUCUGUAGUUUUCCUUUCUGGUGCGGUCUUUGUUUAGUUUUGAUAUUGGGGCAAUGCUAACCCUAUAAAAUGUGUUGAGAUGUAUUCUCUCCUGUUUUAUUUUUUGGGACAUAUUGUGUGUAAUCGGUGUUAUUUUUUCUUUAGAAGUUUGGUAAAAUUAGCCAGUGAAGCCAUCUGGGUCUGGGGAUUUAUUUGGGGGAAACAAAUUAAACUAUGAAUUAAGUGUAUUUAAUAGUUAUAAGGCUAAUCGAGUUAUCUGUUUCAUCUUGGAUACAUUUUGGUCGUUUGCAUCUUUCAAGGAAUUUAUUUCAUCUAAGAUGUGGAAUAUUGUACAUAGGUUGUUCAUAGUAUUCCUUUGUUAGAUUUUCAAUGUCUAGGAAUUCUUCUUUUUUCUAUGUUAGUCUUACUAAAGCGUCAUCAAUCUUAUUGAUCUUUUUAAAGACCCAACUUUUGGGUUUAUUGAGUUUUCUCUUUUGUUUUUCUGUCCUUAUCUUUUUUAUGCCCUGUCUUCUGCUGCUUUUGGGUUUAUUUUGCUCUUCUUUUUCUAGUUUCUUGGGAAAAAAAAGCUUAGAUGACUGAUUUGAGACUUUUCUUAUAUAAGCAUUUAAUACUAUAAAUUUCCUUCUAAGCAUUGCUGUAGGUGCAUCUCACAAAUUUUGACAUGUCGUAUUUAUUUUUUGUUCUGUUCAAAAUGUCAUUUCAGUUUUCCCUAAGACUUCUCCUUUGAUUCAUUAAUUAUUUCAAAGUAUGUUGUUUAGUUUCCAAAUGCAUGGAUGUUUUCCUCUUCUCUCUGUUAUUAAUUUUCAGUUUAAUUGCAUUAUAGGAAAAACUUUGUAUGAUUUGAAUUCUUUUAAGUUUGUUAAGAUUUGUUUUAUUAUCCAGCACAUGGUCUGUCUUGGUGAAUGUGACCUUGAACACAAUGUGUUUUCUACUCUGUUGGGUAGAAUGUUUUAAAUGUCUAUUAGAUUUAGAUUUUAGUGGUAUAUUUCAGUUCUUUUCCACCCUUGCUGAUUUUCUAUUAGUUCCAUUAUUGAGAGAGGAGUGUUGAAGUCUCCAAGUCUAACUGUAGAUUUAUCUGUUUCUCUUUUUCACUUCCGUAAGUUUUUGCUUCAUGUGUUCUGAAACUCUGCUAUUAGGUGCAUAACACAUUAAGGGUUGUUGUUAUAUUAGUGGUGAAUUGAUCCUUUUUAUCAUUAUGAAGUGUCCCUUUUUAUCCCAAAUAUUUUCUUUGCUCCAGAGUCUCCUUUGUCUGAAACUAAUAUAACUACUCGACACCUAAAGAGUUUUAAAUUUUAUUAAUUAUAUUUUUUUCUAGAAAUUUUAUGUAGACUUUUUCAAAUCUCCUUGUUCAUUAUUUAUAGGUCCUCCCCUCAAUUACUUUUCAAGCUUCUCUUUUAUUUCUUUAAACAUAUGAAACAUGUUUCUAUUAUUUCUUAUGUUUGAUCAUUUCAGUUUUGAAAUCCGUCCAGGUUUAAUUCCACUGUUUGUUAUUUCUGCUGGCUUUUAUUCUAGUGUUUCGUAAUUUUUUACUGUGAGCUACUCAUUCUCCUUAAAGCUUUAUAGGAAUUUUUGGAGUCUGGGUUUGAAGCUGCAUCCACUAUCAUCUCCUCCAACAGCCUUGUUUGAGUGGAUUCCACUUCCAUUUUACAGAUAAGAAAAUUGAAACUCAGAACAGCUAAGUGACCUGCCCAAGGUCACCUACGCAGGAAGUGGCAGAUAAGACUCGAACCAAGGGCUUCUGACUCUGAAGUCCAUGUUCUUCCCCUGGUUUAUCACACCAAACCUCUUCUUGUUCAUAGGAAUCCUGCCUCUACUUCCACCCCAAUACUCCUGCAGGUUCCUCUUCCUUCCCUUUGCUUUCGGAUGGUGUGGCUAAACCCUGAGCUGCAGUCCUAUAACACAAAGGUUACCUGCAGAUGAACAGUGAGUACUACCUUUGUACAUUUCUCUUAAUUGCACAGACCAUUCUUUUCUCCCAUCGUCCUUUCUCAGGGUGGUUUGCUUUUGAUCUGGGCUGAUGUGAAUGAUCCUACGUGCUGGAGCCUGGCCAGACCCACUACAAAGCUGGUGCAAUGUUUGGAGAGAAGGAUGGUGGAAAAGCAAUCAUCCGAAGGAGGCUUUAUCAUGUGCCUUUUCAGACUCCCUGCAUCACUUCCCUUCUCUAUCCCUGGUGAUACCCAAACUCCAUGCCCUGGUUUGUGGGAUUCAGGUGUCUUGAUAGCUCCCUGGUGGUACCCAAACUCCAUGCCACAGUUUUUAGGAUUCGGGGAGAGUCCUGAUGAUGCUACCUGAUGAUGGGGAAAUUUUUAAGUUAAGGAGACAUUUAUAUAAUUAAAAAAAAAUUUUUU